CUUGGGGGGAGGCCAGGUAGGAAGGAGGUGGUAGUGGGAGCUGGAGCAUCCUGAGCACCAGGAUGGGCUUGGCAUGACGUGGAAGCAGUUACUGGUAGUCCACUUCCUGCCUUUGGCCAGGACCCCAGUCUGGUUAUAGGUUUAUCCUUUCCAGCAUUGUGUCCCUAACUAGUCAUUGCUCUAGGACAGCCCCAUCCUUACCCCAACUAUGCCAUUAUCUACCUAGUAUUUUAAGAAUAAGUUUUAAAUAAAUUACUUUCAAUAAGUGUAAUUAAAAAGGAGCUUUAUAUCACUAUCAUAAAUAGAAAAACCUGUUUGUUAUUUUCCAUAAUUAAAAAACUAGCUGUAAGCAAGCAAAACAGUGUUAUUAAACCUGAGCCGGAUACUCUUGUCUGAUGAAGACUCUGAACUUGAGUCCUCAUUCCCUUCCCUUAAGGCGGUGGUUCUCAACCUUCUGGCCCUUUAAAUACAGUUCCUCGUGUUGUGACCCAACCAUAAAAUUAUUUUCGUUGCUACUUCAUAACUGUAAUGUUGCUACUCUUAUGAAUCGUAAUGUAAAUAUCUGAUAUGCAGGAUGGUCUUAGGCAACCCCUGUGGAAGGGUCGUUCAACCCCAAAGGUGUCUCGACCCCCAGGUUGAGAACCGCUACCUUAAGGGAAACUAACACAUACCAGAAAGGCCUUAAAGACAUACUAG